GGCCCCGCCCGGCCCGGCCCGGCUCGCGCGCGCCCGUGCGCGCUCCCGCCUGCGCGGCAGCCAAUGGCAGCGGCCGGCCGCGGGGGCCGCCGGGAAGGGGCGCUAUAAAAGCCCGGGUGCUAUUUACGCCGUGCAGGGCGGGCGGUGGUGGGUAGUGUGUGUGUUGGGUUAUGCUGCGCUGCUGCUUCUCUGAGGGGGGCCCGGAGCCUAAGCCUUCGCCUUCUUCCUCCGCUGUUGUUGGGCCGCUGGAGGAGUUCGGCUCUGAGGGUGGUUCUGCGAUAGCUGCUGCUGGGCCAGGCAGGGGCGCCGUGGCCUCUGUAGGAGGCUUGGGAGGGUAGGGGCGCUUUGCUUCCCUGGGGUCUCACCGUGUGAUGUGAAGUGAGUGAUGGAUCCGUGCCCCCUUUGUGUUCGGGGGGAGGCUGCUCUGCUCUGCUCUGCUCUCCGUCCUGCUGUGUCUGUCUGGGCUUCUUCAGCUGGGCGAGGUCCUGCUGAGGGGACCCGUGCCCCAGCUGGCAGCUAACUUUGACUGGCCUUUCUGUGGACCGCUGCCUGGUGUCUGUCGGUGAAGGAACUGCUUGAACCUCCUCCAGUAGAAACAUUUGAAAGAGCUCUAAUGAGCUCUACCGUGAGAAAGUGCACCCUGCAAAAGCCACAUCCCUGAAGGACCAGAGCAGGGCGCCUGGCAUGUGCUGGGACAUCAGGAAGGGAAAGGGCAUGCUGACCAUGCCCUGCUGCUGGCUGCGAGGCUCGCACAAAUUAAAUGGUACAACUCAUCGGCAGCCUUCCUGCGCCAGCCAGCAGCAGUGGUACAAAGCAUGGCUUAAUUAUAGCCCUGAAAGAAAAAGGAUUUCUGUAUGAGAUGUUGCUCCAUGGCUGCUGGUGGCAGAGCUCCGCACGAGCCGAGUCGUGCUGGUUUGGCAGGUACGGUGUCUCUAGAGUUGUCCCCAGAGGUGGAGAGCCAUCCCUUCACAGCCACCGAGUAAUCUGCCAUCUCCCCUCCGAACUCCUGGAUGUGAGCACCUCCCUGCAGCCCCUGCCCAGGAGCAGCUCUGACACGAGCAAGGCAGAGCCCACCCAAAUUUAACUCUGAGAUUUUUCAGGAAAGCUUGAGAGAGUCCCUGGGGAUUUUCAGUUUUCUGUUCUAUGCCACAAAUUCAGCUUUAGACUGACCCCUGAGGGGCAGCAAGGACCAGUGAAAUCUCAGAAUGAUGUCAUAAAACUUCCAAAGUCUUGAGAAACUGUUUUACCUGCAAAUGCCAAGGCAAAGCACUGUGCAACUUUGAGCCAAAAUAAAACUAUUUGGAAAUUCA
rnacentral:lncRNA from 1 species